rnacentral:misc_RNA from 1 species
GUGAUUAAUCGAGCCGUCUUCAUUGACCGCUCACCCUUCUCACCAUCCACAUACACCUUGUGACAUCUGGGAUUAGGCCGUGAAGCCAGGGAUUUCCGGUCCAGGUUCAUCAUUUGCAUACAACCGUCUAAGUCUUAUGAAUGUAACGUUUGUAAUAAUCAUAAGUA